GAUGAAGAACGUAGCGAAAUGCGAUGUAAUGUGAAUUGCAGAAUUCAGUGAAUCAUCGAAUCUUUGAACGCACAUUGCGCCCGCCAGUAUUCUGGCGGGCAUGCCUGUCUGAGCGUCAUUUCAACCCUCAUGCCCCUAGGGCGUGGUGUUGGGGAUCGGCCAAAGCCCGCGAGGGACGGCCGGCCCCUAAAUCUAGUGGCGGACCCGUCGUGGCCUCCUCUGCGAAGUAGUGAUAUUCCGCAUCGGAGAGCGAUGAGCCCCUGCCGUUAAACCCCCAACUUUCCAAGGUUGACCUCAGAUCAGGUAGGAAUACCCGCUGAACUUAAGCAUAUCAAUAAGCGGAGGA
rnacentral:misc_RNA from 1 species